GACGAACGCUGGCGGCGUGCUUAACACAUGCAAGUCGAACGGAAAGGCCUGCUUUCCCUUGGGGAUUGCGGGUACACGAGUGGCUAACGGGUGAGUAACACGUGAGUGGUCGGCCCCCAACUUGGGUAUAAGCCUGGGAAACUGGGUCUAAUUUCCGAUAGGACUGCAGGGUGCUGCCUGUGUUGGAAAACUAUUUUCUAGUGGCUGGGGAUGAGCUCGCGGCCUAUCAGCGUGUUGCUGGGGUAAUGGCCUACCAAGGCGGGGACGGGUAGCCGGCCGGAGAGGGUGGACGGUGAGAUUGGGACACGGAUAAGGCCCAGACUGCUACGGGAGGUAGGAGUGGGGAAUAUUGCACAAUGGGCGGGAGCCUGAUGCAGCGCGGGCGCGUGGAGGAUGACGGGCUUCGGGUUGUCAACUGCUUGGGAAGGAGAGGAAGGCACCUAGUUGGAAGGGUGGUGACGGUAGUGGUAGAAGAAGCACCGGCUAACUACGUG
rnacentral:rRNA from 1 species